rnacentral:misc_RNA from 1 species
CUGAAAAAUUUUAAGUACAUGAUGAAUAUGUAGACCAUGAAAGAAAAUCUGAUAUGAGGCAUCAAUUAACCAGGCAGCCUUCAACUAUUAAAAAUAAUUUUAGGAAAUUACUUAGUUGCUCAACCUGCAUCCCACCAACCCUCCUCAUCACCCACAAAAAGCUCACUCUCCUUUUGCUUCUCUUUCAUUCAACCAAAGAUGAUUUAAAGAAUCUUAUCUCUAGAUAAGAAAAAUAACACAGCAAUUGCAUACAAUCAUUUCAGUGAAGAAGAGAUGCAUCAUUUAAGGCAUAUUUACUAUGAGCAUAAAAGAAAUGUAAAGCAAAGUAGGCAACAGUUGAUGGAUGCAAUGUUGAUGAUAAUAUUAUCCUAGCUAAAGGGAAAAAAAAAGGUUGUCUUUUGUUUGUCGUAAUGGACAAAAGAAUAGAACUUGGUAAAUACACUGCAUUUGAUUGUCAGAAAGAAUCAGUGUGUUCUUUUCAUCAAGUGAAGAAGUGAUAAGAAUAUUCUUAAGUGAAUGACUCAAAAUAUGUAAUCAUUGGUUAUGAAAUGCUCAAUCUAACUGCAAAUAACUUGUCUUGGAGUCUCUAUGAAAAAUUCCCUGGUUCUCAAAGUAAUGUUUGGUUAACAACAUCAGGAUCAAAGAUUAUCAUGCAGCAGAGCAUAAUUAGCUAUUAUUCAUCAUAUCUUUCUUUAUCUUUUCCAUUUUUUUCCUUUUGGCUACUUCCUUCCCCUCUAAUCAUUGGUUAUGAAAUACUCAAUGCAAAUAACUUGUAUUGGAGUCUCUAUGAAAAAUUCCCUGGUUCUCAAAGUAAUGUUUGGUUAACAACAUCAGGAUCAAAGAUUAUCAUGCAGCAGAGCAUAAUUAGCUAUUAUUCAUCAUAUCUUUCUUUAUCUUUUCCAUUUUUUUCCUUUUGGCUACUUCCUUCCCCUCUAAUCAUUGGUUAUGAAAUACUCAAUGCAAAUAACUUGUA